rnacentral:rRNA from 1 species
UAACGCGUGGGUAACCUGCCUUGUACAGGGGGAUAACAGUUGGAAACGGCUGCUAAUACCGCAUAAGCGCACGGCAUCGCAUGAUGCAGUGUGAAAAACUCCGGUGGUAUAAGAUGGACCCGCGUUGGAUUAGCUAGUUGGUGAGGUAACGGCCCACCAAGGCGACGAUCCAUAGCCGACCUGAGAGGGUGACCGGCCACAUUGGGACUGAGACACGGCCCAAACUCCUACGGGAGGCAGCAGUGGGGAAUAUUGCACAAUGGGCGAAAGCCUGAUGCAGCGACGCCGCGUGAGCGAAGAAGUAUUUCGGUAUGUAAAGCUCUAUCAGCAGGGAAGAUAAUGACGGUACCUGACUAAGAAGCACCGGCUAAAUACGUGCCAGCAGCCGCGGUAAUACGUAUGGUGCAAGCGUUAUCCGGAUUUACUGGGUGUAAAGGGAGCGCAGGCGGUGCGGCAAGUCUGAUGUGAAAGCCCGGGGCUCAACCCCGGUACUGCAUUGGAAACUGUCGUACUAGAGUGUCGGAGGGGUAAGCGGAAUUCCUAGUGUAGCGGUGAAAUGCGUAGAUAUUAGGAGGAACACCAGUGGCGAAGGCGGCUUACUGGACGAUAACUGACGCUGAGGCUCGAAAGCGUGGGGAGCAAACAGGAUUAGAUACCCUGAUAGUCCACGCCGUAAACGAUGAAUACUAGGUGU